rnacentral:rRNA from 1 species
GCCCAACUAUAAUACAACAAUUAAACCACGAAUUGUUCGCCAAAUAACUACGAGUUAAAACUUAAAAUUUAAAAGACUUGACGGUACUUCACAACAACCUAGAGGAGCCUGUCCAAUAACCGAUAACCCACGAUUAACCCAACCCCCCCUAGCCCUCAGUCUAUAUACCGCCGUCGCCAGCCUACCUUGUGAGAGAAAUAAAGUAAGCCAAAUAAUACUACAUUAACACGACAGGUCGAGGUGUAACUAAUGGUGGGGUAAAGAUGGGCUACAUUUUCCUACUAAGAACAAACGAAUGUGAUCACGAAAAAAUCACUGAAGGAGGAUUUAGCAGUAAGAUAAGAAUAAACAUGCUUAACUGAAUCAUGCAAUGGAGUGCGUACACACCGCCCGUCAUUCCUGCAACACACAAUAUAAAUAUAUAAUACAACCAACCGACCCCCAGCAGGACAAGUCGUAACAUGGUAAGUGUACUGGAAAGUGUACUUAGUAA